rnacentral:rRNA from 1 species
GGUUAAGCGACUAAGCGUACACGGUGGAUGCCCUGGCAGUCAGAGGCGAUGAAGGGCGUGCUAAUCUGCGAUAAGCGCCGGUAAGGUGAUAUGAACCGUUAUAACCGGCGAUACCCGAAUGGGGAAACCCAGUGUGACUCGUCACACUAUCAUUAACUGAAUCCAUAGGUUAAUGAGGCGAACCGGGGGAACUGAAACAUCUAAGUACCCCGAGGAAAAGAAAUCAACCGAGAUUCCCCCAGUAGCGGCGAGCGAACGGGGAGGAGCCCAGAGCCUGAAUCAGCAUGUGUGUUAGUGGAAGCGUCUGGAAAGGCGCGCGAUACAGGGUGACAGCCCCGUACACAAAAGCGCAUGUGCUGUGAGCUCGAUGAGUAGGGCGGGACACGUGGUAUCCUGUCUGAAUAUGGGGGGACCAUCCUCCAAGGCUAAAUACUCCUGACUGACCGAUAGUGAACCAGUACCGUGAGGGAAAGGCGAAAAGAACCCCGGCGAGGGGAGUGAAAAAGAACCUGAAACCGUGUACGUACAAGCAGUGGGAGCACAGGUUUACCUGUGUGACUGCGUACCUUUUGUAUAAUGGGUCAGCGACUUAUAUUCUGUAGCAAGGUUAACCGUAUAGGGGAGCCGGAGGGAAACCGAGUCUUAACCGGGCGUUAAGUUGCAGGGUAUAGACCCGAAACCCGGUGAUCUAGCCAUGGGCAGGUUGAAGGUUGGGUAACACUAACUGGAGGACCGAACCGACUAAUGUUGAAAAAUUAGCGGAUGACCUGUGGCUGGGGGUGAAAGGCCAAUCAAACCGGGAGAUAGCUGGUUCUCCCCGAAAGCUAUUUAGGUAGCGCCUCGUGAAUUCAUCUCCGGGGGUAGAGCACUGUUUCGGCUAGGGGGCCAUCCCGGCUUACCAACCCGAUGCAAACUGCGAAUACCGGAGAAUGUUAUCACGGGAGACACACGGCGGGUGCUAACGUCCGUCGUGAAGAGGGAAACAACCCAGACCGCCAGCUAAGGUCCCAAAGUCAUGGUUAAGUGGGAAACGAUGUGGGAAGGCCCAGACAGCCAGGAUGUUGGCUUAGAAGCAGCCAUCAUUUAAAGAAAGCGUAAUAGCUCACUGGUCGAGUCGGCCUGCGCGGAAGAUGUAACGGGGCUAAACCAUGCACCGAAGCUGCGGCAGCGAACGUAUCACUUAAAGCGAUUCAGCGGGUUACGAUUGACGGAGCGAAGCGACGUCAAAGCGUAUACAAAGUCGAGUCGGUUUAAGGAUACGUUCGUUGGGUAGGGGAGCGUUCUGUAAGCCUGUGAAGGUGUGUCGUGAGGCAUGCUGGAGGUAUCAGAAGUGCGAAUGCUGACAUAAGUAACGAUAAAGCGGGUGAAAAGCCCGCUCGCCGGAAGACCAAGGGUUCCUGUCCAACGUUAAUCGGGGCAGGGUGAGUCGACCCCUAAGGCGAGGCCGAAAGGCGUAGUCGAUGGGAAACGGGUUAAUAUUCCCGUACUUGGUGUUACUGCGAAGGGGGGACGGAGAAGGCUAUGUUGGCCGGGCGACGGUUGUCCCGGUUUAAGCGUGUAGGCUGGUUUUCCAGGCAAAUCCGGAAAAUCAAGGCUGAGGCGUGAUGACGAGGCACUACGGUGCUGAAGCAACAAAUGCCCUGCUUCCAGGAAAAGCCUCUAAGCAUCAGGUAACAUCAAAUCGUACCCCAAACCGACACAGGUGGUCAGGUAGAGAAUACCAAGGCGCUUGAGAGAACUCGGGUGAAGGAACUAGGCAAAAUGGUGCCGUAACUUCGGGAGAAGGCACGCUGACACGUAGGUGAAGUGAUUUACUCAUGGAGCUGAAGUCAGUCGAAGAUACCAGCUGGCUGCAACUGUUUAUUAAAAACACAGCACUGUGCAAACACGAAAGUGGACGUAUACGGUGUGACGCCUGCCCGGUGCCGGAAGGUUAAUUGAUGGGGUCAGCGCAAGCGAAGCUCCUGAUCGAAGCCCCGGUAAACGGCGGCCGUAACUAUAACGGUCCUAAGGUAGCGAAAUUCCUUGUCGGGUAAGUUCCGACCUGCACGAAUGGCGUAAUGAUGGCCAGGCUGUCUCCACCCGAGACUCAGUGAAAUUGAACUCGCUGUGAAGAUGCAGUGUACCCGCGGCAAGACGGAAAGACCCCGUGAACCUUUACUAUAGCUUGACACUGAACAUUGAGCCUUGAUGUGUAGGAUAGGUGGGAGGCUUUGAAGUGUGGACGCCAGUCUGCAUGGAGCCGACCUUGAAAUACCACCCUUUAAUGUUUGACGUUCUAACGUGGACCCGUGAUCCGGGUUGCGGACAGUGUCUGGUGGGUAGUUUGACUGGGGCGGUCUCCUCCUAAAGAGUAACGGAGGAGCACGAAGGUUGGCUAAUCCUGGUCGGACAUCAGGAGGUUAGUGCAAUGGCAUAAGCCAGCUUGACUGCGAGCGUGACGGCGCGAGCAGGUGCGAAAGCAGGUCAUAGUGAUCCGGUGGUUCUGAAUGGAAGGGCCAUCGCUCAACGGAUAAAAGGUACUCCGGGGAUAACAGGCUGAUACCGCCCAAGAGUUCAUAUCGACGGCGGUGUUUGGCACCUCGAUGUCGGCUCAUCACAUCCUGGGGCUGAAGUAGGUCCCAAGGGUAUGGCUGUUCGCCAUUUAAAGUGGUACGCGAGCUGGGUUUAGAACGUCGUGAGACAGUUCGGUCCCUAUCUGCCGUGGGCGCUGGAGAACUGAGGGGGGCUGCUCCUAGUACGAGAGGACCGGAGUGGACGCAUCACUGGUGUUCGGGUUGUCAUGCCAAUGGCACUGCCCGGUAGCUAAAUGCGGAAGAGAUAAGUGCUGAAAGCAUCUAAGCACGAAACUUGCCCCGAGAUGAGUUCUCCCUGAGACUUAGAGUCUCCUGAAGGAACGUUGAAGACGACGACGUUGAUAGGCCGGGUGUGUAAGCGCAGCGAUGCGUUGAGCUAACCGGUACUAAUGAACCGUGAGGCUUAACCUU